rnacentral:lncRNA from 10 species
CUGGAAUCCCAGCCCUAAUAUGCCUCCACAAAGCUAAGUGGCCUUGGCCAGAUCCCUUUGCUUCCCUGGGCCUCAGUUUCCCCAUCUGUAAAUGAGGGGCUUAGACUGAAUCAUCUUUACGAUUCUCUCCAUAUUAAAGAUCCCCUAACCUGGGACCUCUGUGUUGGGGAAACAUGCUGCCUGACCUGUGUCUCUACUUGACAGACUUGCAGAGUGUGCUGUGUUUUCUUAUCCCUGUCGUUGCAUCUGGAGGCCAUAGCCAGGAGAGUGUCUGUUCUGAGACAUCAACACCCCAGCAGCGGAAAGUGCUGCUGACCUGCCUUUGCACCGGGAAACCUUGAUCCUUGAUUCUCACACUGCCCCACUGCGGGGGAGUUUGGGAUCUUUUUGGUAGAUGCGUUCCUGGAAACUGACAAGCUCUUGGAGAAGAAGAGUCACACAUUCAUCAAUCUCUUUACAAAGAACCUGAUUACAAUACCUGUAAAAAAAAACCAAAAUGGGUAACUCCAUCCUAAUUUUUUUCCCUAUAGUUAUAAAACUGCAUUAAGAAAAUAUCUCUAAGAGAAAAUAUAUAUGGUAAGAAGUUUUCAUGAAAAGUCUCUUAAAGAAGUGUUUAAAACUUCUUAAAUCCUUCAGUCAUUUACAAAAACAGAAGAGUGAUACAGAUAUUCCUUGUUUCUGCAUUUCAAAUAGAUUUUUUUAAGUAUUCAACAAAUGCUUGCUUUUAUUAUGAUACUGGUUUAUCACUUUAUCCCCAUCACCUAGAAAAAGGCA